GACAAUUCCAUAAAGGAAAUCAGAGAGAAACUGCAGAUGGCACGCUUAGAAAUGAAGUCAGGGAAGAUGCCUCUGAGGCGGCCAUGGGAGAGCGGUUAUCCAACGGCUGAGAAGAAGCUGCUGUGAGAAGGACUGGAGAGGAGCACCUCAGGACUAAGGAGUAAGUGCCAAGGCCUGGAGGUGGCAAAGGCCCAAAGGGAUUUUCAUUUCCAAGAAAUCAAAACCCAGAGAGAGCCUUUGAUGGGUUUUAAAUUUGGAAGUGACAUGAUCUGAUUUUUUGUUUUUUCUCUUGCUAUGGAAAGGAAAUCUAUUGGAAUUUGGCAAGACUGGCAGAAGAAGACCAGUGAGGGUUCCAUUCCUGCCAUCCAGGUGAAAAAUGACGUCAUUGGACUGGGAGAUAAGGACCCUGGAGACCAGAGAAGAACCUGCAAAGGCCGUGUUCACACACUCACAAAAGAUGGCUGUGACUUGGAUCCAGACGUGGUGUACUCACAACAGAACUCCUGUGAUUCCAUCCUUUGGGAGGCAGAAAUGAAGUAA
rnacentral:lncRNA from 13 species